CACGAACCGUACGAACGUUAUUCGGAAUUACUGGGCUUAAAGGGUUUGUAGGCGGCCUUAUAAGUCAGGUGUGAAAGCCCUCGGCUCAACCGAGGAAUAGCGCUUGAUACUGUAAGGCUUGAGGGAGACAGGGGUAAGCGGAACUGAUGGUGGAGCGGUGAAAUGCGUUGAUAUCAUCAGGAACACCGGUGGCGAAAGCGGCUUACUGGGUCUCUUCUGACGCUGAGGUACGAAAGCUAGGGUAGCGAACGGG
rnacentral:rRNA from 1 species